rnacentral:misc_RNA from 1 species
GAAAUGCGAUAAGUAAUGUGAAUUGCAGAAUUCAGUGAAUCAUCGAAUCUUUGAACGCACAUUGCGCCCCCUGGUAUUCCGGGGGGCAUGCCUGUUCGAGCGUCAUUUCACCUCUCAAGCCUCGCUUGGUAUUGGGCAACGCGGUCCGCCGCGUGCCUCAAAUCGACCGGCUGGGUCUUCUGUCCCCUAAGCGUUGUGGAAACUAUUCGCUAAAGGGUGCUCGGGAGGCUACGCCGUAAAACAAACCCAUUUCUAAGGUUGACCUCGGAUCAGGUAGGGAUACCCGCUGAACUUAAGC